rnacentral:rRNA from 1 species
ACCCGCACCACCUAGCUCAUGCCUCCCCUCCUGCCGCAGCCCUUCCCUACAUCUCCUCUCCCCAUGGCCAAGCUGCGCCACAGACGCGGCGGGGAUGGUUACCGACACCGUGAGCCACAGAAGAACGAUUGAGUCCUGCAGCGCCGGCUUAGCGCCUUCCCGGCCGCCGGCGUCCUCUUCCACUUCCAAGCCAUCGAGGAGGACUGAUGUGGCUCUUCCCAUGGCGGCCUUGAGGUUUUGAUUGGGUCCUUGCAUCGGUUUUGACGGAGCCUGAUAGGAACGCCGGGAGAGAAGUAGCCUUGGAUUGGAGCAUCGUGGGCAUUUCAUCCUGUUUGUGGUGGCCACGGGGCAGGCCAUCGUCGAGAUCCAUCCCUGUGAGCCGCAGUUCAUCUGCGAUGGGGCAUUGGGGAGAAUUCGUGCUCGAUCCGGCUGCCACCACACGCCAUCUGGUGGGGAAGUAGAGGGGGUAGCCGAGCGGAGGAGCGGGCGCGGGUCGGCCGCAGCUCUGGGAGCUCCAGCGGCAGCAAGAGUGGUACAUGAUGACGGCCGCGCUGUAUCCGUACCUCCUCCCGCCGCUCUUCGACGACCUGCCGGCGGCGCUUUUGGCCGCGAGUGCUCUUUGGUCGUGGCCGCGGGAGCCAUGCACGAGCCGGCGUUUCACUAGUGCGCGUGCAGCGCCCUUUCGCUCUCCGGACGGCCUAAUCGAGCGCAUGUACCCAAUCCCCGUCUCUGUCCUCGCCACUGCCUCCGCCAGAAGCCCCGGCAGCGGUCUGCCGUCCUCCUUCCCUCUCAGCCAGAUGUUCUUGUGCUGCUAGCUCAUAUCUCUCUCCCGUACAAUACAAAGACGGGAUGCGUUUGAGGUUUGAACACAUCAUGUGAGUUCAAGCCUCACCACAGACUGUUCUGAAGUUUCUUGAGAUUUUCUGGUUAGGGAGAUUUGGGAUAAAAUAUGCUCUGAAUUUUGGACAACAGUACUGCCAUGAGUUCGAAGUAACAUACUGUUUCGCAAAAAAGGCAGAAGUAACAUACUGAACCGUGAACCGAUUUAGGCUUGCUCAGUUUGUGGCUGCUCAAUUGUGGUGGAUGAACUUAUUACAUGAUUUGUUCUCCAAUUCUCCCUUUUUGUGAUAGAGUUUGUGAUUAUUAAGAUUUAGGCAAUGUGUGUCUGUGUCCUUUGCAAAACUUAUCAGUACGAAUCUCCACAUCAUUCAUAUUGAUAUUGUUUUUGACAGGGUAUGCUGGCUGGAACUCAAGGCGGGAUUUUCCGACCAAGUUUUUGGCCAUCCAAUUAACU